rnacentral:misc_RNA from 1 species
AAGUCGUAACAAGGUUUCCGUAGGUGAACCUGCGGAAGGAUCAUUACAUUCAGUAGCCUAGCUACUUGUUUAUACCCUUGUUUUUGCGUACCUAUUGUUUCCUCGGCGGGCUUGCUCGCCGGUUGGACAAAACUAUAACCUUUUUUAAAUCUUCAAUCAGCGUCUGAAUUAUACAUAAUAAUUACAACUUUCAACAACGGAUCUCUCGGUUCUG